GACCCCAGUCGUGCAAUUUAUUUUUUUUUGUAUUCAAUUCAACUGUUUCUACGACAAACCUGUAAAGGUUUCAAAAAGAAGACGCCAACAAAAGGAUUUUUAUGUUGAAACAACUGUGAAAAAAGCAACACAUUGGAUUUGGGGUCCGAAAUCCAAACCGAAGACUACUGGAAGAUAAAUGUAUACAACCAGGUUUUCUAUUAAAUUUUUUAAUUUGAGGAUGACAUUUUUGCAAAAAUAUAAAGAACUGAUAAAAUCAAAAUCCAAGAUACUUUUCAGGGUUCUAUUCUAUCAAAAUGCUAAAGAAAAAGGAUAAAAUUCCAAUGUGAUUACAAGACACGGCACGAGCUAAUGAGAUGUUAAAUACACCUACGUACGCCAGAUUUUUAGCCAGAUUUUAAAAACAUACACUUAUGUAGAUCUUUGUCCAUUGCUAUUACACAUUCCUUAUCAACUCGUUAGGUUGAUAAAUAAAGUUGUUGAGCUCAUUAUAAGAACGAACUAGAUUUGAACAUUAAACGGAAUCUAUAAAUGGAACUACAUAUAAUUUACCUAUUACUCUUAUUUAAUGUAAUAUUGUCGACGCGUGCUUGUGGAAUAUAAUAGAUG